GAAGGCGGCACUCGCCUUGGCCGGAAUGACNGCACCCGUUCCCAUUCCGAACACGGCCGUGAAACGCCCCAGCGCCGAUGGUACUUCGUCUUAAGACGCGGGAGAGUAGGUCGCUGCCAGGU
rfam:Ensifer sp. Root278 contig_1, whole genome shotgun sequence.